UGGCGAAUGCUUCAGAGUAUCUUCUCUAAUCACCUUUCCAUCAAUAUAACCUGGUCUGUUGUAGGUGAUAAAGCAUGUUUUAGAGACAUGUUCCUGAAGACCAUUGUUCAAAGAGCCAUCCGAAAGAACCCGGCGACCCAGGAUGCCACUGAUGAGGCGAUCCAGGUUAACGUUACACAUCACCUGAAAGGAGCAUCUGACCUUGCAGAUGGAAAAAGGCACCGCUGAGUGGGACCCACAGCCGACCCCUUAAACCUAGGCUGACUACUGACACCCCAGCAUCACUUGACAACUGGAACCCUUUCUUUAUCCUGCAGACAGUAACUUCAA